rnacentral:sRNA from 1 species
UCAAGAUGUCAAAUCGAAGGACUACCGUAUAUGGGAGCUGUAUCCAAAUCGCAAUUGAUAUAGCUCAAAACCCAACAAAAAGCCACACUACCGGGCAUAUCCUUAAUAUAACUUAAACAUGGGCAUGUCAUUGGAGGAAAGUGCUUCGGAGCAAACAUACUGGAUGAUAAAUAAUUUAUUCUUCGUACAAAUACUGAAGUGCUAAAAUAAAGACAUACCUCUAAACAUACCGAAGUAUGGAUAAUAA